rnacentral:rRNA from 1 species
GGCUCAGGAUGAACGCUGGCGGCGUGCAUAACACAUUCAAGUCGAACGGACUAAUGGGGCUUGCUCCAUUAGUUAGUGGCGCACGGGUGAGUAACGCGUAUCCAACCUGCCCUUCAUAUUGGGAUAGCCUUCCGAAAGGGAGAUUAAUACCGAAUAACAUAGAGUGGUUGCCUGAUUUCUCUAUGAAAGCUCCGGCGAUGAGAGAUGGGGAUGCGUUUCAUUAGGUAGUAGGCGGGGUAACGGCCCACCUAGCCGACGAUGAAUAGGGGUUCUGAGAGGAAGGUCCCCCACACUGGAACUGAGACACGGUCCAGACUCCUACGGGAGGCAGCAGUGAGGAAUAUUGGUCAAUGGGCGCAAGCCUGAACCAGCCAAGUAGCGUGAAGGAUGACUGCCCUAUGGGUUGUAAACUUCUUUUAUACGCGAACAACCGCAGGUACGUGUACCUGUCUGCGUGUAGCGUAUGAAUAAGCAUCGGCUAACUCCGUG